AUUGAACGCUGGCGGCAUGCCUAACACAUGCAAGUCGAACGGAGGUAGGGGCAACUCUACUUCAGUGGCGGACGGGUGAGGAAUGCGUCGGAAUCUACCCUAUGGUGGGGGAUAACACAGGGAAACUUGUGCUAAUACCGCAUAAUGUCGAGAGACCAAAGCAGGGGACCGCAAGGCCUUGCGCGAUAGGAUGAGCCGACGCCCGAUUAGCUAGUUGGUAGGGUAAAGGCCUACCAAGGCGACGAUCGGUAGCUGGUCUGAGAGGAUGAUCAGCCACACUGGGACUGAGACACGGCCCAGACUCCUACGGGAGGCAGCAGUGGGGAAUAUUGGACAAUGGGCGCAAGCCUGAUCCAGCAAUGCCGCGUGUGUGAAGAAGGCCUGCGGGUUGUAAAGCACUUUUGUUCGGGAAGAAGUCAUGCUGGUUAAUACCUGGUAUGGAUGACGGUACCGAAAGAAUAAGCACCGGCUAACUUCGUGCCAGCA
rnacentral:rRNA from 1 species